AUUACAUCUCACAUUCCAGUGUUUCUAAUGGAGGUGUAGAUUACAUCUCACAUUCCAGUGUUUCUAAUGGAGGUGUAGAUUACAUCUCACAUUCCAGUGUUCCUAAUGGAGGUGUAGAUUACAUCUCACAUUCCAGUGUUUCUAAUGGAGGUGUAGAUUACAUCUCACAUUCCAGUGUUCCUAAUGGAGGUGUAGAUUACAUCUCACAUUCCAGUGUUCCUAAUGGAGGUGUAGAUUACAUCUCACAUUCCAGUGUUCCUAAUGGAGGUGUAGAUUACAUCUCACAUUCCAGUGUUCCUAAUGGAGGUGUAGAUUACAUCUCACAUUCCAGUGUUCCUAAUGGAGGUGUAGAUUACAUCUCACAUUCC